rnacentral:rRNA from 1 species
UACGUAGGGUGCAAGCGUUGUCCGGAAUUAUUGGGCGUAAAGAGCUCGUAGGCGGUCUGUCGCGUCGGCUGUGAAAACUCGGGGCUCAACCCCGAGCCUGCAGUCGAUACGGGCAGACUAGAGUGCUGUAGGGGAGACUGGAAUUCCUGGUGUAGCGGUGAAAUGCGCAGAUAUCAGGAGGAACACCGGUGGCGAAGGCGGCUUCCUGGUCUGCGACUGACGCUGUGGCGCGAAAGCUAGGGGAGCAAACAGG